rnacentral:rRNA from 1 species
UACGGAGGAUCCGAGCGUUAUCCGGAUUUAUUGGGUUUAAAGGGUGCGCAGGCGGGGGAUUAAGUCGGCGGUGAAAUUUUGCAGCUCAACUGUAAAAGUGCCUUCGAAACUGGUUUCCUUGAGUGUAGAUGAAGUAGGCGGAAUUUGUGGUGUAGCGGUGAAAUGCUUAGAUAUCACGAGGAACUCCGAUUGCGCAGGCAGCUUACUAAACCACUACUGACGCUCAUGCACGAAGGCGUGGGGAUCAAACAGGAUUAGAUACCCGCGUAGUCCCU